rfam:Trachymyrmex cornetzi contig38684, whole genome shotgun sequence.
CAAACGGCCCUUUUCAGGGCCACCAAAUACUCUGUAAAUACUAGUGU